UACGAAGGGGACUAGCGUUGUUCGGAAUUACUGGGCGUAAAGCGCACGUAGGCGGAUUUGUUAGUCAGGGGUGAAAGUCCCGGGGCUCAACCUCGGAACUGCCUUUGAUACUGCAAGUCUCGAGUCCGAUAGAGGUGGGUGGAAUUCCUAGUGUAGAGGUGAAAUUCGUAGAUAUUAGGAAGAACACCGGUGGCGAAGGCGGCCCACUGGAUCGGUAC
rnacentral:rRNA from 1 species